AUUGAACGCUGGCGGCGGGCCUAACACAUGCAAGUCGAGCGGAUGAAGGGAGCUUGCUCCUGGAUUCAGCGGCGGACGGGUGAGUAAUGCCUAGGAAUCUGCCUGGUAGUGGGGGAUAACGUCCGGAAACGGGCGCUAAUACCGCAUACGUCCUGAGGGAGAAAGUGGGGGAUCUUCGGACCUCACGCUAUCAGAUGAGCCUAGGUCGGAUUAGCUAGUUGGUGGGGUAAAGGCCUACCAAGGCGACGAUCCGUAACUGGUCUGAGAGGAUGAUCAGUCACACUGGAACUGAGACACGGUCCAGACUCCUACGGGAGGCAGCAGUGGGGAAUAUUGGACAAUGGGCGAAAGCCUGAUCCAGCCGUGCCGCGUGUGUGAAGAAGGUCUUCGGAUUGUAAAGCACUUUAAGUUGGGAGGAAGGGCAGUAAGUUAAUACCUUGCUGUUUUGACGUUACCAACAGAAUAAGCACCGGCUAACUUCGUG
rnacentral:rRNA from 1 species